rnacentral:rRNA from 1 species
GACGAACGCUGGCGGCGUGCCUAAUACAUGCAAGUAGAACGCUGAAGGAGGAGCUUGCUUCUCUGGAUGAGUUGCGAACGGGUGAGUAACGCGUAGGUAACCUGCCUGGUAGCGGGGGAUAACUAUUGGAAACGAUAGCUAAUACCGCAUAAGAGUAGAUGUUGCAUGACAUUUGCUUAAAAGGUGCAAUUGCAUCACUACCAGAUGGACCUGCGUUGUAUUAGCUAGUUGGUGAGGUAACGGCUCACCAAGGCAACGAUACAUAGCCGACCUGAGAGGGUGAUCGGCCACACUGGGACUGAGACACGGCCCAGACUCCUACGGGAGGCAGCAGUAGGGAAUCUUCGGCAAUGGACGGAAGUCUGACCGAGCAACGCCGCGUGAGUGAAGAAGGGUUUCGGAUCGUAAAGCUCUGUUGUAAGAGAAGAACGAGUGUGAGAGUGGAAAGUUCACACUGUGACGGUAUCUGACCAGAAAGGGACGGCUAACUACGUG